rnacentral:ncRNA from 1 species
AUGGUUAAUUCCACAUUCAAAACUGUGAUUAAAAAAUGAAGCCAGAGAAAAUUGAAAAAUAAUUCAGGAGGAAGAGCACUACAAAAUCUUAUUCAACACAAAGAAAAAAAAAGUAAAACGCUACUAGAUAGGAGCAUGUUAUAACUUUCAAAUCUUGUAAAAAGUCAAGAAAAUAUAUCAAAGGAUCCUCCUAGGUGUCCUAGGUUGCUUAAUAAUAAGCUAUCUCCCAAAAUAGACGAAUUCAAGAAGAUUGAAGGCAUUAGAUUUUCUCUUUCUUAAUGAUACCCCAUAGACAAAGCCCGCCGCUCUGAUGAUUCAUGAUAACUCGAUGGAUCGCACGGCCCUCGUGCCGACGACACAUCAUUUAAAUUUCUGCCCUAUCAACUUUCGAUGGUACGAUAGGGGCCUACCAUGGUGGUGACAGGUGACGGAGAAUUAGGGUUCGAUUCUGGAGGAGUCUGAGAAACAGCUACCACAUCCAAGGAAGGCAGCAGGCGUGCAAAUUAUCCAAUCCUGAAACGGGGAGGUAGUGACAAUAAAUAACAAUACCGGGCUCUUCGAGUCUGGCAAUUAGAAUGAACACAAUCUAAAUCCCUUAACGAAAAUCCAUUGGAGGGCAAGUCUGGUGCCAACAGUCGCGGUAAUUCCAACUCCAAUAGCGUACAUUUAAGUUAUUACGAUUAAAAAGCUCAUAGUUGGACUUUGGGACGGGUCGGCUGGUCCGCCUCGCGGUGUACACAGGCCGUCCCAUCCCUUUUGUCGACGAUGCGUGCCUGACCUAAACUGGCCGGGUCAUGCUUCUGACACUGUUGCUUUGAAGAAAUUAGAGUGCUCAAAGCAAGCCCACGCUCUGGAUCCAAUAGCAUAGGAUAACACCAUAGGAUUUCGAUCCUAUUGUGUUGGCCUUCAGGAUCGGAGUAAUGAUUAAGAGGGACAGUUGGGGCUUCCGUAUUUCAUGGUCAGAGGUGAAAUUUCAUCAUACUCAAUAAAAUUCAUGAUGCGAGUCUAAAAGAACUUCCUCACUUUAGAUAGACCAAAGGCACCUACA